rnacentral:rRNA from 1 species
CCUACGCGUGGCAGCAGUGAGGAAUAUUGGUCAAUGGGCGGGAGCCUGCACCAGCCAAGUCGCGUGAGGGAAGACGGUCCUACGGAUUGUAAACCUCCUUUGCCGGGGAGCAACGGGGUCCUUGCGAGGGCCCGAUGAGAGUACCCGGAGAAAAAGCAUCGGCUAACUCCGUGCCAGCAGCCGCGGUAAUACGGAGGAUGCGAGCGUUAUCCGGCUUUUUUGGGUUUAAAGGGUGCGUAGGCGGGCUGUUAAGUCGUCGGUCAACUGUCGGGGCUCAACCCCGGACUGCCGUUGAAACUGGCGGCCUCGAGUGGGCGAGAAGGAGGCGGAAUGCGUGGUGGAGCGGUGAAAUGCAUAGAUAGCACGCAGAACUCCGAUUGCGAAGGCAGCAUACCGGCGCCCGACUGACGCUGAGGCACGAAAGCGUGGGUAUCGAACAGGAUUAGAUACCCUAGUAGUC